GCCUCAAUGCACAGAUCAUCCACCAGCUGAGCCCAGGCCUCAGGUCCAAGAUGGCCAUCCAGACCCAGCAGUCCAAGUUUGUGAACUGGCAGGUGGAUGGCGAGUACCGUGGCUCCGACUUCACGGCUGCUGUCACCCUGGGCAACCCAGAUGUCUUGGUGGGUUCAGGAAUCCUUGUGGCCCACUACCUACAGAGCAUCACACCGUGUCUGGCCCUAGGUGGAGAGCUUGUCUACCACCGGCGGCCUGGAGAGGAGGGCACUGUCAUGUCUCUAGCUGGAAAAUACACACUGAACAACUGGUUGGCUACAGUAACGCUGGGCCAGGCAGGCAUGCAUGCGACGUAUUACCACAAAGUACUGGACUGA